CUCAUGAGAGGUGCUGGAAAUCGCAGGUGGUUCAGGCACACCAUGUUUUGAAAGGUGGACAAGUUUAGUCCAAGUCCAGGCUAAGGAUAUAGGAAGAUAAACUUUCGCCUUUCUUCCGGCGUAGUCCCUGGGAACCCCAGCGUGGGGCGUUUCACCCUCCACCUAAGGAAAGCUCCUACCUGGAAGCUCUCCCAGCCCCCAGGCUACGCCACCUCCCAAAUUCUAGGCACUUUCCUAGUCUCUCUGCAGAAUCAGCUGACACCCUCCAGGGCCGGGCACACCGGGCCUGCACCAGCAUGCCGCUGGGGGCCCAGGCCUCAGGGGGCCCGAGGGUAAGGGGAGACGUGACCCAGGAGAAAGGAGCAGAAAUCAGAACAGGCUGGACGUGGUGGGGGUGACGAGCUCAGUGGGUCCAGAACACGGGUGUGAACAGAGCCGAGGGGCCAACAGAGCUGUCGCUCCGGGGGCUGGCACAGCAGCCGGGCGACAGGCAGGCUGCACAGACAGGGCUCCUUGUGUCCGUCCCACUGAGGGUCUUAUUCCACCGUCCCAGGGCCCGAGGCCUGGGUUUGCCCCAGUUCCUUCCUCUUUACUUCCCCUCCAGGGGUCCUGUCCCCUGACUUCCGGGAUUCAGAGCAGGCAGACCUGCAGGGACAUGGGACAUUUAUCAUCUAACGCAGCUCCGACCCCAUAUCUGUCCAUGCCACAGGAGGAGACAGAGGCCCAGGAGGUCACGCUGACUUCCAGGGCCACAUGGUUUUCUUCUCGGAGCAGAGGCCACAGCCCAGACCGUAGAUGCCAGCGCUGCUCUCUCCCCUCCCUGGCACGCACCGCCCUGCCCCAGUGUGGGUUCAUCAUAAGAAGCCACUCAAGACACGGGCCAGGCCCCGUCUGAGCUCUCAGGCCAUGUGGCGAAGGCGUCUGGGGCAUGUUGGUCUUGGCUUGUCUCCUGGCUUCCCACGCUGGGAUCGCCGUCGUGUGGCAGAGGACGCCGGGGACCUGGAAGCACAACCCCAGGGUCUCAACGUCCCGGGGUGAGGCCCAGAGGACAGAUGAUGACAGCCGGCUGGGAAACCAUCAGGCCCCGGAAGGCGACUCGACUCGAAUGAGCUUCUCUAAUUGUCUCCGCGAUGGAAAACGCUGAAGACAAAAAUAUCUAUGGCAAAAUCACUCCUGUUCAUUUUGGCCUUAAACCUAAGCCAAGACCUUUCGUUUCCGACGUUGCAACAAUGGGGGGACGGCGUGCACGCCCACAGCGGCAGCUCACACGUACCCAGGGCUGACAGCACGCCAGGAGUGCCUCGCUGACCCGCACCCCAGCUCGCGGAGGGCUUCACAAGGACCCGGAGAGUUUAAGAAACCUGCCCAGCGUCACACCACUGGUGAGUGAAGUCAAGGACUCAGCCGCACCUGCUUGGGACACUGGUUCAGGGGCACCUAAAUUAUACAACUGGGGAAACUGACGCCCAGAUCAAUGAGUUCUCUCUUUGUCCUCAGGAGCAGGGUCCUGGUCUUUGCUUUGGGUUGACAUUUUCCCAGAGAGGUGCUGUGUCUCCUCAGGCUGCUGGGAAGCACCGCUGACAGGGGCUGGGACUCCGGAAGACUGGCCGUCCCCCAAACGCUGGGACUCUCCCUCCAGAGGGACGGGCUGUGGCUGGGACAGCCUGCCCAGCCAGGAACUACAUUUCCCAGCCUCCUCUGCUCCGCUGUGGCCAUGUGGCUCGUUCUCACCAAUGGGAGUGGAGGUGACCUGUGUGUUUCCAGGAAACAGCAGAGCCCUCUCCACCCUUUCUUCCUCCUUCCAGGGUGACACUGGAAGCCACCUGUUGAGACGGAAGGAACCUGGGACCCUAAAUACUGUGUGGAAAGUCACUCACCAAAUGAUCUCACUACACUGUUGCUGAGUGACACAUAAAUUUGAACUGUGUAAGCCACUGAGAUUCAGGGUUUACCUCCUACGGCACCUGGCACUGCCUUAACCCACGUACUAGCCUUGGGUUCUCCAUGAUUACCAACCAGCUCAUCCACAGCCUUUCUUGACAAUGUUGAAGACGACCCUGGCAAUCUCUGCUCAGGUAGACGUUCAUGCGAAUCCGGAAGUACUUACUGAGCACCUCCUGUUCCGGGCCCCACCCAUCACCAGCUACCUGGAGCGAUCGUCCAGCUCAUGUCUAGGAAUUUCUGCAGAAACCUACUGAUACAGUUUGGGUAUGUGGCCCCUGCAAAUCUCAUGUUGAAAUUGGAUCCCCAGCGUUGGAGGUGGGGCUGAGCGGGAGGUGUUUGGGUCACGGGGAGGGUCCCUUAUGAAGGGUUGGUGCCCUCCCCAGGUAUGAGUGAGUUCUCCCUCCGUUAGUUCACUCCAAAGCUGGCUGUUUAGAGGAGCCUGGCACCUCCUCCUCUCUCUUGCUCCUUCUCCCACCGUGUGACUCACCUGCUCUCCUUUCACCUCUGCCUUGACUGGAGGCUCCCUGAAGCCCUCAGCAGAAGCAGAUGCUGGCGCCAUGCUUCUCGUGCCGUCUGCAGAACCAUGAG